UGGGGAAUAUUGCACAAUGGGCGCAAGCCUGAUGCAGCCAUGCCGCGUGUAUGAAGAAGGCCUUCGGGUUGUAAAGUACUUUCAGCGGGGAGGAAGGGAGUAAAGUUAAUACCUUUGCUCAUUGACGUUACCCGCAGAAGAAGCACCGGCUAACUCCGUGCCAGCAGCCGCGGUAAUACGGAGGGUGCAAGCGUUAAUCGGAAUUACUGGGCGUAAAGCGCACGCAGGCGGUUUGUUAAGUCAGAUGUGAAAUCCCCGGGCUCAACCUGGGAACUGCAUCUGAUACUGGCAAGCUUGAGUCUCGUAGAGGGGGGUAGAAUUCCAGGUGUAGCGGUGAAAUGCGUAGAGAUCUGGAGGAACACCGAUGGCGAAGGCAGGUCACUGGGCCAUUACUGACGCUGAGGAGCGAAAGCAUGGGUAGCGAACAGG
rnacentral:rRNA from 1 species